AGCACUUCUGGAAGGCACGGAAAUGAAGCAGGGCUGGUGGUGCACAUGGGGGUUCUCACCCCGGGGUUCACCUGGAGAUGGGGGUUGCUGUGCCACUGCUGAUCCACAAGGCUGGGGGUCUUGAUCACCUGGGGUCACUGAAGGUCCCAUGUUGCUAAUUUGUGCUGCCAGCACAGGCAUCCAGGUCCUGCUCUGGCUACCCUGGUACCCUCAAGCGGGGCCACACCCUCAGCUGGUGCAAAUCAGCUCCAUACCCUUGAGACGUCCACGGAGCUACACCCAUUUCCUCCAGCUGAGGAUCUGGCCCAGCACCCUUCUCCUCCUGUCAUGCACCCCACACCUCCAGGGCAGAGCUGGGGUGAGAGCCCUGCCCCCUAGCGUGGCCUGCUCUCUCCGGAUCCUGGGGGGUGAUGUAGGUUCCCUUAACCCCCCUGCCCCUGCGAGCAGCCGGGUCUCAUCAGUUGGGGUCAGGGAGCAGAGGGGAAGCGGGUCAGGGCCUGUGAGGGUUUUAAGCUAGUUACCACCGAGGGGGAGGGGGAGACGGAGCUCGGAUUGCACCGCAGAACUAAGACAUGACUUCAUCCCCUAAUGGCUUUAGCACACACAGCGUCUCAGCACAGGCGAGACGGGAGAAUGAGCCCACCAGGACCCCCACGCUGCCCCGUGUCAGCCCCGCCUGCUGCAGUGGUUCGGAGACGGGGCAGCGUCCUGCCCCCCCUGCACACCAUUGGCUGCACCAUUGGCGAACAGAGGGCAGACGGCCUGCCAGACCCCGCGGCCCAGAGCCUCUGGCUGCAUCCUGGCCUCCUUGGAAACUGAAGGCGGCUGCAGCCGCACAAUGGUCCUUUUGUUCUGGGGCGAGGAGCUCUGGGCUCGGUGUCUCCCAGCCACAGUGCUGGCGAGGCCACGAGGCCCACGGCAUUCCUGGGCCAGGCCCGACCGCCCUCCGAUGGCUGCACCCUCAGAGGAGCCUGGCCUCCUGGGCACCAGACAGGCUUACUCCUGCCUGGGACCUCGGGCCUCUCCCAUCCCGCGUCAGCCUGGCCUGCUUAGAUUGUAGGCAGCCUGGGGCAGAGACCAGCUCUCAUGCUGCCCCUGGGCAAGGCCUGGCUCCAGGCCCUGAUCUCAGCUGGGCAUCCCAGCAGUGCUGGAACUGCUCGUUUCAAUAUGAGCGACGCCCCCCUCCCCUCUCUCCAGCCCCUGCAUUAUGCCCCAGAGGUGGGGCUGGCACCAGGGCUGGGCAUCAGCAGGAAUCAAGGUACAUCGACACCUGAAUCUUCAGUCGUGUCUUCACGAGUUGCUCACUGACACGACUGCGAGCACUCGUGCAAGCAGGGCAACUGCAUUUGCUGCCAGGGGUGUUUACACGCAAACACUCCUGCCCACGUGUGAUCAGCCCCCCAGACGCUCCCCCUUUCGCUGGGCACAGGCCUGGUGCUGGAGCAGCUUUUGCUCCAUGCUCACCGCACAGCACAGCUUGUUGGGCCUCCUUCCUGUGACUGCCGUCACAUGAAAAUCUCGCCGUAUCACAGACCCAUCGCUUCCAGUCUACACCAGCUUCCUCUGUGCUAACCACAGCCUGGCUCCCGCCGGAACGCCGCUCUCAGCCACUUCCUGCGAUGAUCUGUGCUGGGCGGGCUGAAAGCGAUGAGCCCAGCGGUGCGGGCACAGGAGGGGAGCCAGGGCCUGCCACCACUUCUGUCAGCCGGCAGCACGGGACUGCUCCAUGCCCGCUCGCUCGUUUGCCCAGCAGAGCACACUGGGACAUUUCAUCCCUUGAACUAGGCCCAGCGCCCUGGGAGGGCAAAGGCCCCAGGACCCAACAGUGGCCCCACUGGCGUCUGCCCUGGCCAAGUGCUCAGCAACCUGAGUUGUGCUCAGCCUGCCACCUGUCCAUGGACUCUGGGCCCUGGCUGGGAGCGCUCAGACAGUCAUUCCACAGCAUCUCCGGGACACGGCUCCUUGCCUGCGGGCUCCCUCCGUGUUCUGUUCGUUCGAGGCAGGAGACCCAGCGACCCAGGCCCAUGCAGACAGGAGGGCGUGACACCAGGCAGUGCCAUGGGCGACGCGUGUCAGCAUCUAACCGAGGUCCUGGAGAUGCCCUCUGUGGGGGGCCGGGGGGAGACCUGAAGGUCUCUUACCUUCUAAAUCCCCUUUACCUGGGCACCCGUUUCUUCCGAUGCGCCACGCCCUGCCCAACCAGUGGUGAUGGACCAAUGCCUCAGGGCCUGGCACCCGCAGGACAGGGGCAGGGGGCAGCAGCUGUGUCCUGGAAGCAGUGGGGUCAAUGCUGGCUGUAGGGCCAAGCAGCUCUGUGGGUUUCCUAUGGAGGGUCCCGGUUUGCCCCCCAUUGAUCCAAGCCUGCAGGAAACGCCACCACAAGGCACUGGGAUACAGAGCAUCAUCGCGAGGCCUUUGGGGCCACAUCCUCCCCCAGGCAGAGGGCCAGCCCUAGUCCCUGGUGCCCCUCGUUCAAGGCUGCCCUGGCCCAACGCCACAUACUGUGCACAGGGGAGAGGGCGCUAAGCUGGGGAAAGAGAAUUCUGCCUCCCCCCUGCUUCAUCCUCCCUCCGCUCCCUGGAGCGCAGAGCUCUUUGCUGUGCCCCUAGAGACCAUGCAAGGGGCCCAGGACCGGAUUCUCUCUCCCUUCCUCCGCCAGACACCUAGGAACCGGCAGAGGGGAACUGGGCACUGAACAGCCAUGGCACGACGUAAACCCCAUCAGCCACCUCCCCAGCUGGUGCAAGUCACUGCUGGGUCAGUUCAGGCCACUGAGGAGCUGGUGCAGGGUUCAGAUCAGGCCCUCUUCCCAGGCAUGCUCAGGGAUGCCCACGACCUAGAUACCACAGUGAUGGGCAGGGGGGCGAGAACCAGAACAGAACAGCACAGACCAGAACGUCAUGCCCCAUCUUGGCCGCAAAGCCCAUCUGUGACAGUCCCUGAGACUGUGUCUGGAUCCCUCCUCUGAGCGACAGGCAUGACUUGAUUUCCCCCUGCUAACUGCGUCAGUUUCUCUCACUCUGGAGGUUUGACGGCAAUUGUUUAUCAGGCAGCCCCCACCUCUGCCAGAAAAGCUGUGUGGGACAGCCUCACGCCGUUCCCGCCAGGGCUCCCUCCUCCACUGCGAGCGCUGGCGUCCCGAGCGGCUCCAUGCUGGCGCUCCGCGCCGUACCUAGGCCAGGGCUGAGCCAGAGACUGCAGCCCCACAAGGUAGGAUCAAAAAAGGCAAAGAGCGAUGAACCCUCCUGCUUCCCAGCGCGAGUCACCCAGGCUGGAAAGAGCUGCUGCUCGUGCCGUCUGGGGUUCCUGCACUGCCGCUGAGGUGGCUGCUGCUGGCGACCGUCCCAGCCAGGAACCUGGACCAGGCCAGACCCAGACCUAGCCUGUUCCAGCCGUGACCAGCACAGAGGGACAGGACCAAGAUCACAAUAGAGAGUCUGGCAGACCCAGGCCUCCCAACUCCCAAUCCACCGUUUUAACCACUGGGCCACCUCCCCUCCCACCCUGUCCGGACAGCCGGGGCCGCGGGGCUUGGACCCAGGCCAGGGGAGAUUUGCCACUGAUUUCAACAGCAGCAAGAUGACACUCCAAGCGCCCCCCUGAGAGAAACAUGAAAGGGAGAAGAAGAGUGAGGCAAGCUCCUUCCUCCGGCCCCCUCCAGAGCUUCUGUCCUUUUUAAUGUCAGAUAGCGACUGCACUGGGGUAUUUUCCACACCGCCCCCCUGCAUCGCCUCGUCACAGAACCAAGAGGCGGCCUGGGGCAGAGGGAAAGCAAAAACCAAACCAAAAAAUAAUAGAGCUCAUCUUGGCCUGUGUUCAGCUGCACAGAGACAGAAACCACAUUGUGCAAAACUGGGCUGCCUGAGAGGUGAAAAGGAAACUUUAAAACCAUCAGCUGACUUUCCCAGGCCUGGAUCGGGGUGGGGGCUGCCUUUAUUUCUAGCCCAGAGAACGAAAGGUGGAAAGGUGGUUUUCCCAACCCCACAGCUCACUGACUCGUGGGUCGUCCCCGUAACACAAAGGCCCGUUUCCCCCCUCCUCGCUCCCCCAAUCCGUGUCCCUGCUCACAGCCUUGCUCAGCACAGAGGAGGGGCCGGGAGAGGCUGGACAUAGGGCCGGAUGAAACGGGAUAUUCUUCUGGCUCAAACAGCUCCCCCCAGCUCCCUCACGAAGCAGCCAGAACUGACUGUUUUCAGGGGGUCCCAGGAGAGAGGCCCUCCCCACCCCGUCUCUGGGCCUGAUCCUGGCCAGCCCCAAACCUUGCCCCAUGAGACGCUGAGCGACAUUUAGGGUCACAGCCCAAGCGACAGGAGCUGAUGAUUGGGAGCAGGGAGGUGGGGGCAGCAUGACCCCGCUAAGCCCAGUCCCCCACCCCCCAGAUUCUCACUAGGGCACUGGUCAGAGCAUGUGGCAGACCAGCGGAGGGGGGCAAAGCUCAGCUGGACACGUGCCCGAUGAGACCUGACUCUCACAAUGGCUCCACAACUCCUGGGCUGCGUGGGGUGUUCCUGAAAGCCCCAGCUCCAGGAGUCAGGUGAUGGAGUCAGGAGUCAGCCCCCACUGAACCCAUGCUGUGAAUUUAAACCGCUGGCUUGGCUCUGAUAUUGCUUUGAGAGGCUGCUCUCUGCUGCUCCCCAAGCGUUUAGAAACCAGCUGCAGUUAAAUCGGUGUCACUUCCCUGGGCAGCCAGACCUGGUCCCUCCUGGGUGCAGAGAACAGCCGGCAGCUGAGGCCCCUAAUAGCCCCACCCAACUGCACGUUCGCUGGCAGCUUUUCAAGCCCAACUGGUGAUUUCCCAGCUCAAGGCUGGUGAAGACCUGGCCCUCCUGAGCCCGCCCAGGUGGCCCACUGCUAGGCUCAGUGUGUCCCGUAUCACCCCUGCCGCUGGGCCCCGGUGCCAGAGCUCCACUCCACCACCCCAGCCUGGCAGCAGCUCCCAGGCCAUUCCUAGUCCGAGCCCAUGGCAGGAUGCUGCUGGCCAGCACUUAGCCCAGGGUGGCUCCUCUGCUGGGCCCAGCCUGUCCCGGCUGCUGCCAGCCCAAGUCCAGCCCUGGCUUGUUUCCCCUCCACCUCCACCAGUUCCAGCUCAAUCCAAGGUCAGGAGCUAAAACGAUCCCCAGGCAGAGUUUAGGGGACCCCUUUGGCCAAUCCAGGCUUCCAGCGCCCCCCCCCCCCCACGGGGAAAUGGCUGCAGGAAGGAGAAAGCAUCCUAUCUCACUGCCCAGACCCUCCUGCCGGGGCAGUGACGCUCAGCCACCAUUUCCAGGCUCCUCGGGGCCUCCCCGCCCCUCAGGCUUGGGCCUGGCAGCCGGAGCAGAGCUGCCUGGGAUGGAGGCGUGGUGGCUCGUGUUCCUAGGAACGCGGCUUUGCCCUGGGCCUGGAGAGGAAACCACAGGGAGGUCGGAUCAAACACGGGUCUCGCUGCCCCAGGCCCCCACCUCCGGGGGCUGGGAGAGGACCUGGUCUGGCCAGCCCAGCCCAGCCUUCCAUCUUCAGCAGUGUCCAGUGCAAGAAACACCGCAGGAGGCAGCUGGGGGUGGAUGGCCCCAGGAAUGCCCCUGCUGCCACCCGCAGCUCGAGCCUGGCUUACAUGCUGAAGCACGACAGUUCUCAUCCCUUCCAAAACUCUUGCUGAUUUUUAAUCACCCUGGCUAGUCUCAUUAGCCAGAGAAUCGUCUAAUCCCUUUGUAUAAACCCUGCUAAGAUCUUGGCCUCCAACCGCGUCUUGUGGAGCUGAGUUCCACAGGCUAAGUGCACGCAGUGUUGGAGGAGAGCCACAGCAGAAGGAUCUCACUAGUUUCCAGGCACAGCCAGUGCCAGGAAGAUACUCGAGGGCUGGAAGGAGCACAAAGACUAGCAAAAACAACGAUGAGUUGUAAGUGCAGGACAAGAGAGCUAAAUAUGUCCUGGUGAUGGCUGCAUGAUCCGGGGGCUGGGGUUUGCCAUGACAGUAACUCUCUGCAAACAUUAGACAAGCAAGCACACCUAGGACAGAGGGGGGUUACUUAGCGUGGACUGAUGGGGUAUGGACUGGGAGACACAGGGGGACCAGUAGGAGUCCAGCCACACUAGCAGCUGAGUUCAGACACUAAGGAGCUGAGGGCCUUGUCCGAGGAUCCCAAAUGACCUGCGGUUCCUUAUACGAAAUCAGAACCUUGAGCACAUGGCCUGGGAGAUGCUUUCAGGGCCACUGCCCAGCCGUGCCGCAGACAGAGCCACCAUCCAGCAACGCCACCAAAAGGCAGCAAAUUCAGGACUGAGGAAACAUCUUCCCACAGCACAGAGCUAGACUGAGGAACUCCCUGACACAGGGUGUCACCGAGGCUGAGAGUUCAAGAAGGACUGGACGGACGCCUUGAUAAGAACACCACUCGGAGUUCUGGCAGUUAGCGUGAAGGCGGGGUAUCCUUCAGCAGAGAGUUCCACAGGUUAGUUACCCUUCUGCCCUGUAUGCAUGUGCCGCCGUCCAGUGACAUUAGCUGGGAUGGGGUAAAUAGGACCGACAGGAGCAGCCUGUAGUGUUUUAUGGGCCUCUCUCACGUUGGCUCCAGAUUCAUAUUGAGAGUCUGCUGCAGAGCUCGGGACGGAACCCAGGCGUCCUGGUUCACUUUUCUGCCCUAGUCACGGCUUUGUUUGCACGCCACACUAGUGCAAACCCCCACAGCACAGGCAAGGGUCGAAGUCCUUCCUCGGGUCUGGACAAUCCUGGAAACACUUUGUCACCAGCCCACGCCCUCCUGUUGGACCUCACCAGCCCACACCCAAGGAGCUGCUGGCCCAAGAGCACACGUUCAAGCCACAGCACUGCACGAAACCGUGCAAAGAACCAGCCUGGCUAGGCCUGGCUUGGGCGCUCGGCUCCCGCCCUCCCUAGUCCCAGGUCAACUCUUAUUUUUAUAACAAGCCUGACCGCAAAUUACAGCAUCCGCGUUCUGCAAACCUACAACUAAGGAGGCAGGAGAGUGUUUUCCACCCGCCAACCAGCCCUGCUCUGUCCCCUGGGCUCGGCUGACGCCAGGAGCUGGGCUUAGCUGGCUGUCAGGACCAGGAGUUAAAUCCAUCCCCCAGCCCCUUUGCUCAUCUUCUCUAAGACACCAAGAAGCCAAACCCGCCUGCGUCCUGCUGGGGGGCUGUUUACUUCUCAGGGGAGCACAGGAACCAGCCAGCAGACUUCCUCGCAGCAGGCUUCAAAGCCCCGGAGCAGACAGAGGCGCCUCGCUAUUCUUUCCCCUUUGGCAAUGGCCACAGCCCGGUGGAUUCACCCUAACACCAGCCAGGCUGGUGGCUCUGGCCUGCAGAGGCCAGGCACCAGGGCCAGCCCCAUCCUCUCUCUCAUUCCUGACAGCCGGGGCUGAGGCCCGAGUGGGGAAUCGAUCAGGGAAGCAGGGGCCCAGCAGUUUGCUCCCAGCUGGGACCGAUCCCGGGGCUCUCCAGUCUGAGGUGCUUACAGUGUAAAAGGCAGCUGACAAGCUGGCAAAGGGAGACGAGCAGACGACAAGCACCCCGUGAGAGCAGGGAUCCCCACCCCUCACCGCCCGUCCCGAGAGCCGGGCUAGGCACCUGGGUGAUUUUCAGGGGACUCCUGGGCAGAGAAACCACUGGACUUGCCGUGGGUCUGAUGCCUUCUCUUAGGGCCGCUUUAGGGCCCUAAAUACUUGUAACAACCCGGCCACUAGCACGUGUGAAAAUCCCAGCCCCAAGCCAGUAGUACCAGCUAUUUAUCACUAGUAUCACAGGAGCUGCAGGGGCACCAGGCCUUGGUUUAGGCACCGAAGCAGAGCCCAGCGUCUGGAAAGCGCCAGCCCUAGCCCCAGCGGUGCUGCAUCAAGGGGGGAGGCGCUUGGAGAGGCAGAGGAGCUCGGGGUCUGAGGAAGAAAGGCCCAAUACUCAAAUGCUGAGCGCUGUGAAACUUGGGAUCUCCUGCCCUUGUGCUCCCACGGGGCACUGUGCAGUUUCUUUACGGUCUCCCCUGCCGCUGAAAAAAACCACCAUCAAAAAGCAGUUGGAUUCGGUUUUCCCCAUGCGAGGAAGACACGCUCAGGAAGCGCAGCCAGACACAGGGUCGAAUUCUGCCCCCGGUCUAGUGCCCUGAGCUCCUUGGAGUAACCCAGCAUCCGCAAGAGCAGAAUCAGCCCCGGGGCCAACGCUGCCGGCAGUGAAGUUGCAGGAGGCUUUUGGCCCAGGCGAGAAGCUAGCCAGGUGGUUCUGUACCAAGCUCUCCUGCCACGGUUCCGGGUUAUUUUGGAUCAGAGCCUCUAAACUCCUAGUUCCUUUCUCAAAGCUCCGUUCUCCAAGGUUUUGCUUUUUAAACCUCCAGUCAGGGGGCACGAGCGUCCCCCGCACCCACCCUUGUCCAGCCCAGAGCGACCCAGGGUUAAUGCAAUGAGUCCGAGGCUCCAGCGGCCGGCCCCUUGUGGGUGAGAACACCAGCGUUCUCAGGAAGAGCCAGGCUGCAUCGGGGACUGGGGCAGCGACGCAGCCAGUGCAGAUGCUGCGUGUUGUUCCGAGCAAGGCCACCUCUGGUGACCGCAGUAACGCAGGCGCGUUGCAAUGUUUUGCUGCUGCAGCUUUUUGGGUGCUGCUGCCAGGGUGCAUGUGUCCCUAACGCAGACAGGCCCCAGCAGCACUGUAUACCCACUUUGCAGAGGUGUGCACAUGCUGCGCGUUCACUGUCUCUCUCUCUGAUUUGCACAGAGACAGGGAGGUGGACCCAGUCUAGGGCUCACUUGUGCACUGAGGCUCUCCUACGCCUAGAGCCAGGAGGGACGGGGCAGCGUCCAUGGGCCUCAAAAUAGGAGCUUAAUUUUAUGCCAGGUACAAACAAAGCCCGUCUCUUUCGUGCCAGCUUUGUUCCCCACCAGGCCGAGCUGCAAACAGGAAAGCGUUUGAGGAUCAAAGUUAACCAGGCAGCCUGGGACUAAACUCACCAGUAUCAGAGCCAAGCGAAGCCAACUCCAAGUCUGCAGCCUCCUGGAACGGCUUCCCACUGAUCUAUAAUUACUCCGCAGCAGCUCCUCAAUUGCGACAUUCCCUGGCUAAUUACACACAUUCAUUCCCCCACAAGCUCAGGGAAGUGGGUGGCAGAUCCAGGACAUUAAUGACAGGACGCCUGGUGGUUUAUAUGUCAGAGUGGGGGGGGGGGGGGCUGGGAGGCCAGCAGGCGGCCUGCAGCACAUGAUGAGAUCCUGCCAAGCUCCAGCUAAGCCGGAGCAGAGCAGACAAAGGACUUGGAUAGGAGUCUGAAAGUGGCACUUAGACGCUGUCCGUCCCUAACCAGUGGUGCAGCAUUGCUGUGUGCUGUGAAACAUGUCCAGAGGUGGCUGCAUUUCAGGGCUGGGUAAAACCAAGCACUUCGCCCCUUGCAGGGCUGAGGAGUUUACCACGAAGUAACUCAGAUAUUUCAGCUACUGCUCACAAAGCCUGCUGGCUCUGGCGCGCAGGGGCUAAGGUGAUGAUCUAGACAGCUGCUUGCAGAAGCUAAGAACCCGAGUUUUAGCACAUUUCAGAGGGAAGUUUUGCCAUUGGUAACAUGGAUUAGAUCAGUAACAAUUCUGCUCUUAGGUUGCCCUUUCCUUUACAGCAGAUGAACUCAAAGUGCUUUACAAAGGUGAAUACCAUUAUUCCACAUUACAAAGCUGGGGAAACUGAGGCAUAGGGAAGGAAAAGGACUCACCCAAGGUCACACAUUAAGGUUCAGAACUCCGCAAUCCUGACUCCCAGUCCUGCGUUCUAACCAUCAGUCCAGUGGCAGUUUCAGUGCAAAGUGAUUUACAGGACGGUUUAUGGCAGGUGAAGGACUGUAUAUGUGAAUGAUAA